rnacentral:lncRNA from 1 species
UUUUUCGCAAAAAAUAUACAGUUAUAUUUUUUAUAUACUAUAUAAUAGUGUGUAUAUUAUGUUACGAGCGAAGUAUACAAUUUGGGCGUUUUAUAAAAUGUCCAUCGCAUAUUGGACACGAUAGAUUUUCCAGGUAAUAUUAAAUUGAUGUUAUAUUAUUUAAAAAAAAUUACCUUCCGUACUUAACCGGUUGUCCAAUGCGGCGCGUGCCACAAACACGAUUGCAGUAUUUAUGUGUAUUGCAAUAAUCAUUUUCAUUUUAUCGUAAUGCCAUUGUUCGGAAAGCACGGUUUACUCCAGUAAAAUAUUUACUGUUCAUUCACACAUCAUUGCAUAAUGUGCAGUAACCAGCGGUCAGAGACGUAUUUAGAUAUUUCGCGACCCAGGUGAGAAAAAAAUAACGCCCCUCCUCUCUCUAACUGAAAUUUCUUCAGACAUAUAUUUGUAUAAAUAUUUGUAAAAUAUAUAUCAGUCGUUAUUAUAAUUAUUAUAUUUUGCAAAAAAAAAAAAAAAACCACAGGUGAUAAAUUUAAUAGGCACUACGCAGAAAUUGAAUUUCAGCACCCCGUAUAUGCCAAGCUUGUGCUGGGGAGCGGUUCUUAUCAAUAUUACAAUCGUACACACAUAAAAUAUCAUAUUGUGAUAAUUAAUAUCAAAAUAUAAAAAAGAAAAUAGUACACAAUAUUAAAACUAGGAAAAAGGUUGAAAUAAAGUAGGAAAACUUUAAGUAAAUACGUAGUAUUUAAAGUUAUUAAUAUACGCUAUAUCCAAGAUAAAUCAAGACUCUUAACAUAACUUUCGAAAGACUUCGUGUAACGAAAAUGAUUUAUAUUAAUAUUUAAUUUUUGGCAUAGUUUCAGACAAUUAUAUAAAACACUCAUUAAAGCUUCCUCUGGCACCCUCCCUCAAAUCGCCACUGCCUGCGGUCAGGUGCGUACAUACAUAAUAUAUUUUAACUAUAUAAACAUUUUAUGUAUUUCUUUUUCUUCUUCUUCUCUUUUGCCUCUACCCCAAAUAUUUGGGGUCAGCCUUCCUCGUUAUAAACUUUCGCUCGAUCCGAUUUCCCAACUCAUAUACAUUAGCUGUCAUCAUAUCAUUCUCAAACAUAUUCAACUCUUAUCAGUUUUUCUCUCCACCUGUUUCCUCCAAAAUUUAUUUGCAUUAUAAUUUUUAAUGUUUUGGAUUUCUCUCUUUCCGUAACAAGCCCAAACCAUCACAGUCUAUUUUCUCUCAAAACGAGAGAAAAAUGUCUACUUCCGUAGCCAUGCCUAAACUACCUCUAUAGGUCUAUAUAUUUUAAUUGAAACGGUCCGAGUGAGCGAUAGCUGGGUCUCUAGGUAUGCCUGAAAUGCAUUUGUUAUUUCCCUGUUUAGGUAAAAGGGAAAAAAUAAGUGCAAACAGGUUUUUCGUAACACAGGUUUGAACUCGCGACUCCUAGGAUGAUAAUAAGUAUGUAUAACCAUUCGGUUGUGACAAACAUAUUCUAAGCAAGACAAUGUAGAGUUAUUUAACAUAACAUAUAAUAUCCGCAUAUAAAAACUUUAAAAAGCUAUAAUUUCGAAACUUAUUCAGUCCGCUCAGUUCUGACUUCACCAUCAUUUUUAAAUCGGUAAUAUGCAUAUGUUCAAAAAUAAAAAAAAAAAUAAAAAAUUUGAUUUGUUCCAUAUCAUUUUUUAUUUAAACGAUUUUCAUCAAAAUAUGAUAUUAAUAUUCCCUUAAAAAAAUACUAUAUUAAACUCAAUUUUUUUUUUUUAACAAAAACUCUUCAUGAACGUCCUGUUAAAUUUUCAAGUUUUCUGUUAAAACUAACAAUUUCACUAUAGUGUACCUACCGAAUAAAAAUUACGUACAAAACUCGCAAAAUUAAAAUGUUUAUAAAUAGCUCAAAAAUGGCUUAAAUUUUUUGAAAAUUUUAUCACAUCUAGAAAAGGCAAAUAUACGUUUUUGUCCUAAUUUUAAGUCUUUACGAAUAUUUUUAACUAAAUUAUAACAAAUAACAAAAUUAAAAAAAGAGCUGAUACUGGAGAUGGGAAUGGCCACUGUUGAAGGUGAGAAGUUGGGAAGGUAAGAUAAGAAGUUAAGAGGGUGAGAUACACAAGGUUAUUUCAUUUAUAUCUGUAAGCAACGAUAAAUUAUUGCUUGAUGAAAGACGAUGCCGAUCGCAGUUCGGUAAUACAUAAUUUGAAAAGCCGUAAUUUUUUUUUGCAACUUUUGUUUAAAUUUGAUUUCAAAACGCUUAUUAAAAGAAAUUUACCGAAUUUUACCUUUCCUAACCUUACCUAGGUAAGUCCAAUAUAAGUAUUAUUACAAAGUUUAAAGUCUCUACAUGUAUUUAUAACCGAAUUAUAGCAAAAAACUCCCAAAAAUUAAAAUUCCUUAAAAGCUCAAAAGUGGCUUAAAUUUUAUUUAAAAAGUGGCGUCGAAAAUCAAAAAAUGACCUCUCUAAAGUACUUUCUCAUACAGAUUUUUCUUCAGAAAAGAUGUUACACGUAAAAAUCGGAACAAGUCUUUGGUAUAAAUUUGUCCACAGAAAAAAUAAUAAACAUCUUUGUAAAACCAAUACAUUCUUCGCUAUAAUCAGUAUCUAAAACGUAUCUUAGAAUUAUUGAAAAGUUAGUUAAUAAAGAAAACUUAUACGACUAUAAUUGGUAAACUUAGGCUCGUGCUGAUCAUACUUUUAUUAUAAUUUAUAAUAUAUUGGCUUAAAACACAAAAAAUAUAAUGAAUCUAAUGUCAAAAUGCAUUUAUUUUAGCCAGUUACGAGGAAAAACUUGACAAAUUGGUUAGAAAUUGGCCUUUUUUUUGGGAUUCAGCUUUUAAAUAGCAAAGAAUAAUUCUUAUUUUAUACAUCCCUUUCCAUUGAUAAUUCCUGGACACGCCACUGAAUACAGUAAUACCUUAUUACACUGCAACUGAGGUUUUUCCAUUGUUGCAAACUGUUUUAUUGUUUACAAUAUUUACUUACUAUUUUAAAAAUGUGUUAUCGUUUAUUCUCUUAAUCAACGGGACGUAAGUUUUUAAUUAUAAUAAUCACUGAUAAAGAUAGUAUGGAUGGCCAACGAGCUAUGAAAAAGUGAAAGUAAUCUGACUCUACCUUAUCAUGUCUGGGCAAAUGUGCACUAGCAUUACUGGUAGAUUUAUUCACUUAUAGUGUCGUUAGAAUAAUCGUAUAAUAAACAGCUAGACGCUCCCCACUUUCUCCGAUCCCCGGAUAAAUAUCUCUCUUUGGGUGCUAGUCUCAUAUUUCCAGUUUCUUAAUACGUGUCAGCUGUUUGGGAGUCUAAACGGCUUCACUAAAUGACAAUUUUACUAUAGCUCUUUGGGCAUCCAUACAUUUUAAACCGUAUGUAUAAUUUUUGAUAUUUUGAUAAUGAGUAACGCUGGUAGAUAAUGACAUAGAAUAUUAACGGGCAUACGUCGAUACGGACCUUUAUCACACAUUAUAUAAAAUCAGUUGGUGUACUUCUAAAUUUACCGAUAACUCGAAUCUACCUCAAUGUUGUGGGACCAUAUAUUAUAAAUGAAUUAUUGUACAACAACUUUUACGAUAAUUAUUGUAUCAAAUAAUAUUUAAUACAUCAAAAUAUUGUGUGUUAAAAGUAUACGAGUAUCAAGUAUGCAAAUUAAUGAAACUGCAAAAAGCUAUUUGAAUUUUUAGUAGCUUCAAUUUACUACGUGGUAAUCUUUAGGCAUAUAUUUAUUCUAUCUAUUAUAUCUUUGCAAUCUUUAAUCUAUUUGUAUUUUGUAAUUGUUUUCUAGUGAACAAUUUUCAUAUUUAAGGAACACCAACAAUACUUGAUGAUCGGAUAUUCAAGGAGCACGUUAUAUAUUUAACAAUAAACGUCAUCAAUCAAGGUUUUGGUAGGUUUUCGUUUAUUUACAUUUACAUAGGCUGACUAGGAAGUUCACCAUGUGGUUUUACAUAGUCUGUGCUUACACACCAUUUAUAAUUAUACCAGCAGUUAAAAAGACAUUAUUUAUUGGUAAAUUUACCGACAAUUUUUUACCGAUAAAUUCAACAUCUUUGGAUAAGUAGGUACAAAUAUUUAUUUCAAUUGUAAUUUAAUAUGUAAUUAAGCACACUGUGUGCAUAAACUUCUGUCAAGAUCCAGUUUUGAAUCUUAAGUACACGAAUUAACUCUCUAUGAGUUUAUAUAAUAUUUUACAUAAUAUGUAUUAUGUAAUAUCUCUUAAUAGUAGUAUUAACAGUAUUGAUAAUGGCGAAAAAAUAAUGAUAAACCCAAUGGCAAGUUAAAAAAAUAGUAUAUAGGAAAUUAUUUUAAAUGGAAAACAAUUUGACAUAAAUAAAUCAGCCUAUACAAUUAAGAUAUAACAUUUAUACAUUUUUUUAAAUUAAAAACACAAAUUUUAUUCUAUAUUUACAUGCAGUCAGCUCCCCGUUAAUCCGGGCCUAGACCCUCUCAUAC